UACGAAGGGGGCUAGCGUUGCUCGGAAUCACUGGGCGUAAAGGGUGCGUAGGCGGGUCUUUAAGUCAGAGGUGAAAUCCUGGAGCUCAACUCCAGAACUGCCUUUGAUACUGAAGAUCUUGAGUUCGGGAGAGGUGAGUGGAACUGCGAGUGUAGAGGUGAAAUUCGUAGAUAUUCGGAAGAACACCAGUGGCGAAGGCGGCUCACUGGACCGGCAUUGACGCUGAGGUGCGAAAGCGUGGGGAGCAAACAGG
rnacentral:rRNA from 1 species